rnacentral:rRNA from 1 species
CUUAUCUCCAACAGUCCUAAAAAAGAAAGUCUCUUAUCUCCAACGGUCCGAAGCGGAACACGACGGCCGUCACGAUCCUCGCCGCCACGGCCGGGGAGAAUCGAGGAUGUGCGGGCCGCAGGCGAGCGGCGCCACGGCUUCGUGAGUGGUGGGGGCGGAUGGACACGGACGAGCACCUCUACCUGCUGGGCUCCUGACGCUCCCCGUCUCCCGCUUCGACGCCGACAAGGUAGGCAAGAACGUGUGGCGGCGAUCUCAUUCCACCUCUUCACGCAGAUCACGCAGGUUGGGUUCGGCUCGCGCCUCCUCCCCUCGUCCCAUCUCAGGGCUUGGAUCCCGACGGGAUUUCGAAUUUUCGAUUGGUAUAAUAUUGCAUUGAUAACAAUAUUUGACCUAUCUUGAUAAAAACUGGUACUUGUAAUGCAA